AGAAAGGCAGCUGAGUUAGAACUUAACAGCGUCAGUCCUUCACCCGACACGGUCAAAGAGG
rnacentral:sRNA from 12 species